rnacentral:rRNA from 1 species
UACGGGGGGGGCAAGCGUUGUUCGGAAUUACUGGGCGUAAAGGGCUCGUAGGUGGCCAACUAAGUCGGACGUGAAAUCCCUCGGCUUAACCGGGGAACUGCGUCUGAUACUGGAUGGCUUGAGUUCGGGAGAGGGAUGCGGAAUUCCAGGUGUAGCGGUGAAAUGCGUAGAUAUCUGGAGGAACACCGGUGGCGAAGGCGGCGUUCUGGACUGUUUCUGACACUGAAAAACGAAAGCCAGGGGAGCAAACGGG